rnacentral:rRNA from 1 species
UACGGGGGGAGCAAGCGUUGUUCGGAUUUACUGGGCGUAAAGGGCGCGUAGGCGGUCGUGACAAGUCACUUGUGAAAUCUCCGGGCUUAACUCGGAACGGUCAAGUGAUACUGUCGGACUAGAGUACAGAAGGGGCAACUGGAAUUCUCGGUGUAGCGGUGAAAUGCGUAGAUAUCAGGAGGAACACCUGUGGUGUAGACAGCUUACUGGACCAUUUCUGACGCUGAGACACGAAAGCGUGGGUAGCAAACAGG